rnacentral:rRNA from 1 species
UGAACGCUGGCGGCGUGCUUAACACAUGCAAGUCGAACGAGAAAGAUCUUUUCGGAGAUCGAGUAGAGUGGCGCACGGGUGAGUAACACGUGGAUAAUCUACCUUCAAGCCCGGGAUAACUAUUCGAAAGGAUAGCUAAUACCUGAUAAAGUUAGUGUCUUUUAAGGAUACUAAUGAAAGACAGCCUCUUUUUAUGCUGUUGCUUGGAGAUGAGUCCGCGCACCAUUAGCUAGUUGGUGGGGUAAAGGCCUACCAAGGCAACGAUGGUUAGCUGGUCUGAGAGGAUGAUCAGCCACACUGGAACGGGAACACGGUCCAGACUCCUACGGGAGGCAGCAGUGAGGGAUUUUGCGCAAUGGGGGAAACCCUGACGCAGCAACGCCGCGUGAGUGAAGAAGGUCUUUGGGUCGUAAAGCUCUGUCAACAGGGAAGAAAUUAACCUAUAUUAAUAGUGUAAGUUAUUGACGGUACCUGUGAAGGAAGCACCGGCUAACUCC